rnacentral:rRNA from 1 species
GACGAACCGUACGAACGUUAUUCGGAAUUACUGGGCUUAAAGAGUACGUAGGCGGCUCGGCAAGUUGGGUGUGAAAUCCCUCGGCUCAACCGAGGAACUGCGCUCAAAACUGCCAGGCUUGAGGGAGAUAGAGGUGAGCGGAACAGAUGGUGGAGCGGUGAAAUGCGUUGAUAUCAUCUGGAACACCUGUGGCGAAAGCGGCUCACUGGGUCUCUUCUGACGCUGAGGUACGAAAGCUAGGGUAGCGAAC